rnacentral:rRNA from 1 species
UGGGGAAUAUUGCGCAAUGGACGGAAGUCUGACCGAGCAACGCCGCGUGAGUGAAGAAGGUUUUCGGAUCGUAAAGCUCUGUUGUAAGAGAAGAACGAGUGUGAGAGUGGAAAGUUCACACUGUGACGGUAACUUACCAGAAAGGGACGGCUAACUACGUGCCAGCAGCCGCGGUAAUACGUAGGUCCCGAGCGUUAUCCGGAUUUAUUGGGCGUAAAGCGAGCGCAGGCGGUUAGAUAAGUCUGAAGUUAAAGGCUGUGGCUUAACCAUAGUACGCUUUGGAAACUGUUUAACUUGAGUGCAGAAGGGGAGAGUGGAAUUCCAUGUGUAGCGGUGAAAUGCGUAGAUAUAUGGAGGAACACCGGUGGCGAAAGCGGCUCUCUGGUCUGUAACUGACGCUGAGGCUCGAAAGCGUGGGGAGCAAACAGGAUUAGAUACCCUGGUAGUCCACGCCGUAAACGAUGAGUGCUAGGUGUUGGGUCCUUUCCGGGACUCAGUGCCGCAGCUAACGCAUUAAGCACUCCGCCUGGGGAGUACGACCGCAAGGUUG